rnacentral:rRNA from 1 species
GACGAACGCUGGCGGCGUGCCUAAUACAUGCAAGUCGAGCGGACGGAUGGGAGCUUGCUCCCAGACCGUCAGCGGCGGACGGGUGAGUAACACGUGGGCAACCUGCCUGUAAGACUGGGAUAACUCCGGGAAACCGGGGCUAAUACCGGAUAACUCUUUCCCUCACAUGAGGGAAAGCUGAAAGAUGGCAUCUCGCUAUCACUUACAGAUGGGCCCGCGGCGCAUUAGCUAGUUGGUGAGGUAACGGCUCACCAAGGCGACGAUGCGUAGCCGACCUGAGAGGGUGAUCGGCCACACUGGGACUGAGACACGGCCCAGACUCCUACGGGAGGCAGCAGUAGGGAAUCUUCCGCAAUGGACGAAAGUCUGACGGAGCAACGCCGCGUGAGUGAUGAAGGUUUUCGGAUCGUAAAACUCUGUUGUCAGGGAAGAACAAGUACCGGAGUAACUGCCGGUACCUUGACAGUACCUGACCAGAAAGCCACGGCUAACUACGUG